rnacentral:rRNA from 1 species
UACGUAGGGGGCAAGCGUUGUCCGGAAUCAUUGGGCGUAAAGCGCGUGUAGGCGGCCAGAAAAGUCCGCUGUGAAAACUCGAGGCUCAACUUCGAGCUGUCGGUGGAAACUUUCUGGCUAGAGUCCGGAAGAGGAGAAUGGAAUUCCUGGUGUAGCGGUGAAAUGCGCAGAUAUCAGGAAGAACACCCGUGGCGAGGGCGCUCUGCUAGGCCGCAACUGACACUGAGGGACGAAAGCUAGGGGAGCGAAUGGG